AUGCCCUGGCAGUCAGAGGCGAUGAAGGACGUGCUAAUCUGCGAUAAGCGUCGGUAAGGUGAUAUGAACCGUUAUAACCGGCGAUUUCCGAAUGGGGAAACCCAGUGUGAUUCGUCACACUAUCAUUAACUGAAUCCAUAGGUUAAUGAGGCGAACCGGGGGAACUGAAACAUCUAAGUACCCCGAGGAAAAGAAAUCAACCGAGAUUCCCCCAGUAGCGGCGAGCGAACGGGGAGGAGCCCAGAGCCUGAAUCAGUGUGUGUGUUAGUGGAAGCGUCUGGAAAGGCGCGCGAUACAGGGUGACAGCCCCGUACACAAAAAUGCACAUGCUGUGAGCUCGAUGAGUAGGGCGGGACACGUGGUAUCCUGUCUGAAUAUGGGGGGACCAUCCUCCAAGGCUAAAUACUCCUGACUGACCGAUAGUGAACCAGUACCGUGAGGGAAAGGCGAAAAGAACCCCGGCGAGGGGAGUGAAAAAGAACCUGAAACCGUGUACGUACAAGCAGUGGGAGCCUCUUUAUGGGGUGACUGCGUACCUUUUGUAUAAUGGGUCAGCGACUUAUAUUCUGUAGCAAGGUUAACCGAAUAGGGGAGCCGAAGGGAAACCGAGUCUUAACUGGGCGUUAAGUUGCAGGGUAUAGACCCGAAACCCGGUGAUCUAGCCAUGGGCAGGUUGAAGGUUGGGUAACACUAACUGGAGGACCGAACCGACUAAUGUUGAAAAAUUAGCGGAUGACUUGUGGCUG
rnacentral:rRNA from 1 species